rnacentral:rRNA from 1 species
UACGUAGGGGGCUAGCGUUGUCCGGAAUCAUUGGGCGUAAAGAGCGCGUAGGCUGCUCGGUAAGUCCGCUGUAAAAGUCAAAGGCUUAACCUUUGAAUGUCAGUGGAAACUGCCGGGCUAGAGUCCGGGAGAGGUGAGUGGAACUGCGAGUGUAGAGGUGAAAUUCGUAGAUAUCGUAAGGAAGACCAGUGGCGAAGGCGGGUCUCUGGACAGUUCCUGACGCUGAGGCACGAAGGUCAGGGGAGCAAACGGG